rnacentral:rRNA from 1 species
UAUGAAGGGGGCUAGCGUUGCUCGGAAUGACUGGGCGUAAAGGGCGCGUAGGCGGAUGGCACAGUCAGAUGUGAAAUUCCCGGGCUUAACCUGGGGGCUGCAUUUGAUACGUGUUGUCUUGAGUUCGGAAGAGGGUCGUGGAAUUCCCAGUGUAGAGGUGAAAUUCGUAGAUAUUGGGAAGAACACCGGUGGCGAAGGCGGCGACCUGGUCCGACACUGACGCUGAGGCGCGAAAGCGUGGGGAGCAAACAGG